UACGAAGGGGGCUAGCGUUGCUCGGAAUUACUGGGCGUAAAGCGCACGUAGGCGGUCUUUUAAGUCGGGGGUGAAAUCCUGGAGCUCAACUCCAGAACUGCCUUCGAUACUGGCAGGCUUGAAUUCGGGAGAGGGAUGUGGAAUUCCAGGUGUAGCGGUGAAAUGCGUAGAUAUCUGGAGGAACACCGGUGGCGAAGGCGGCAUCCUGGACCGAUAUUGACGCUGAUGCGCGAAAGCGUGGGGAUCAAACAGG
rnacentral:rRNA from 1 species